CUCUUUAUUAAUUUCUCCAAAUAACCAUGCAGCACUCGGAUGUAUAGAAAAAAGCUCUCUCUUUAUUAAAACGCACUGUCAGUGGCAAGGAGAAUGUCAUCAGGCCCCCCCCCCCCCCGAUAAAACCCCCCUCAAAUAAACAGAAAGAAUGAGUAGCGCUCCACUUUAUUCAACGCGGCGACAGUUAUUACAUUAUCAUUUCAUCAUGGCUUUUUGGCAAUAUAUCAGCGGAUACACACGUUAUUUAUUCAUAGAUGCAUUUUUAAAAAGGCACACGAGAUACAGCAUCGCUAAUCUCCACCGAGUCGACACAAUCAAAUAUACAUGAAUACAAUAUCAGUGCGAGAUGGGAGAGCGGCGCGUGGGCGUGUGGUGUGGAUGGAUUCAACUUUAUUCAUAUGAAGAACAAGGACAGGGAACAAGGAGGAAUGAGGAGGGUGGUGGAGGACGUUUACUCUGUCGCAUUUCUUUUUAUUUCUCCACAGAGAUUUCUAUUGGACUCGCCUGAAGUCUUUUCUGAGUGUGCGUUGCUUUUUGUGGCCUGAGCGAAUCUCUGGUGUUGAACGUGUGUGUGUGUGUGUGUGUGUGUGUGUGGUCCUGGCAGUAUAUCCUUGCUUUAAGGCAAGUGUCUAUUUAAUGAGGCUUUACUGCAAAAGGAGCUCCCUAGGACGUGCUCUGCAUUUCAAACACUCUUCUGCAGCAUGCGGACCACCAGCACACACACACACACACACACACACACGCAGCACGUGGCAGGUUUUGUGUGUGUGUGUGUGUGCGCCAGCGCUGCCUGGCCAAAGCAUUGGUCGGUGGGUUUUUGUCAAUGUGAGGCAACCUUUGUGAUGCAGUGUGUGUCUCUCCUCCCGCUCUCCCUGUCACACACUUUCUGCCUCUCGCCCAACCCCCCCCCCUCCAUUCCACCCCCCCCGUCCGUCCGUCACCUCUCUGACCUCCUGUUCAUGUAUCUCACUGUUGAUGCUACUCUCUCCUGCCUCCUCCCUCUCUCUCUCUCUCCCUCUCGCUCUGCGUUUCUGCUUUGCCGUUUUCCCUCUCGUCCGUAAAAAGGUCCAGAUCUCUGAAUAAUACAGAACAUCUGUGGAAAGAGAGGAGAUUCCAUGCAGUCGGACCCCGGCGGACAGGCACAGGUCGGGGAGGGCCAUGUAUAUUUACACACAAAGGCCCAAACGCAAAUCCCGAAGCAGCAUCUAGAAUGCAGACAAUGGGAACGCGCUCUGUGCUCAUCGGCUUUGGAUGGAAGGGGGCCGGGAGGACGGGAGGACAGGAGGAUGGGGGGGAGUGGGGGGUGAGGGGGGAGGGAGCCUGUCAUUGUGCGUCUGACAAUACCAGCGCCUCAGUAAAUAUUAUGAGCGGAGCUUCCAAAACAAAGACUCCCGUCCAGCCACUUUUCGCUUCCGGGGCGCUCUGAUGAGCCAACGUGGCCCCCCGAGAGUGAAACCCAAGCCUGCAAUCGGGACGAUGUGGCGUCUCCCUGCGUGCGCCUCGGCCGCGCUUCGUUGUGUCUGGAGGAGAACGAGGUGUUUGGCCUCAUUAGUGGCGCCGCCGCGUCGCUCAUAAUGAAUGCUAUCAGCCCCUAAUGACAAGUAUUGUUCUUGAGCACAACUAAAUCACAGACUUCAUCAGGGAGCAUUUUAGAGAAGAGGUCUGUGACUCAAGCCCCAUAGUUACCCCCCCCCCCCCGCCCCCCACCCACACAAAAAUCAAUCCCUCACUUAGACCAAAGCCACUGCUAGAUGCCCGUUCCGCUAUCGACCAGUGCAAGUGGGAGUUUGGGGAGGGCGGCUGACGGGAGAACGGGGGGCAGAGCACAAUGAAGAGAAAGUGGAGAGGAAUUGAUUUCUUUGGUGAUGGGGAUUUAGCAUCAGGCGCCAAGACAAUUAGGAAAGUUUUCAUCGAAUGAAAACAUGACUCCAUAUACAUUUCUUUUCCUCUCUGUUUUGAGGCCACGUGUUAGCUGAAGGUGGCGAUGGACCGGAGUAGCUGCAGAAGUUGCUUAAGAGUUGAGCGGAUGAUUCUUUCAGAGGUGAUGAAAAAAAAGACACCGUGUCCAUGUGGAUUUGUGCAUCUCUUCUAACCUUCAGCCCACAAACUCCGAGGCCUCCGGCAGAUUUUUUUCCGCUUUCGAACACAUGAAUCGGACAUAAAGUGGCUGCUCUCAUUACUCGUAUUAAAUCCUGACACUUAAGAUUAUUAAGGAUAACUGCAAGGAAAGCCAAACCAUGGCAGUGAACCGGGUUACAUUCCCCAAAAGCUUCCCGGGGGAUUAUUUAGAGAUCAUAGUUAAUAGUAUGAGACUUGCAAUGACUUUUUGGAGCUAAAUGUCUUCAUGUUAAUGUCGCUCACUCUACGGCUUUUGUUUCGUUUCGUUUUACGUAACAAUCAUCAGCAAAGGGGAAACGUUGGGCUUUUUACUAUUUGCCUGAAGAAAUUCCGCUGUCAAAUAGUUGACGGCACUCGUCCCGAGAGGACGGCGCCUGAACCUCUUCACCUCAGCGGGGUAUUCACUGAUAUUUCCCUAAAAGAAUUCAAUUGUGUCAGAGGUUCUAAAUUUAAAUCAGCUGCGUCCCGCUGGCGUUCGGGGGGCUGUCACAUGUUUAAUUUUCCAGGUGCGGCUUUAACAUUGAUUUGUAAAUGCAUUUUACUCAACUUAAUUUCAUCACUCCGCAGGCAUCGACCUCAACUCUCGAGGGUGUCGGAAUUGCUUUUCCAUCACAAAAUAGGCUGUUUGUGGUUGGCAGGAGCACCUGAACCGAGAUGGGAUUGGCCCGGGGGGCGGGGGCGGGUACGGUACCUGUCGGGGUGGGGUGGGAGGGGGUCGAGGGCUGGUAACGAACAUGGCGCAGACCCGGCGGGUUGGCGCAGCAGGCUGCAAUCUAAUCAGCGCCGCGCCUUAUUUUCAUCCAGACGUGGGCGGAGAAUUAGAUAUUUAACGGCGGCGGCUUUAUAUCCCAAUCACGCAGCUCAGGGUCGGCACCGUGGACACCUCGUUAAGUGGCUAGAUGGGUCCAAUCAGCCCGGCGCGGGUAGCUUGACGUCGGCGUCCGUGCGUGAGUGUGAUCGAACGCGUUCCUCUUUCGGUGUGUCUGCGCGGGGCUCGUGUUUGGGGGCGUUUGAUGUCUGUAGACUGGCACAAAUUGGCAAUCAGGUGAGGUUGGCAUGGACGAGGGCCUCUCCUCACCGGGAUCCUGACUCCAAUUGCCCCCCCCCCCCCUUCUCCCCUCUCCCAUCCCUCCCGUCUCCCUCGCGCCAAAAUCGUUUUAACUUGACCCUGACAGGUGCUUCUGACAAAACCCAUUACAGUCUCAAUUACGCUGUAUACCCCCACCCCUAUUCCGCUCCUCUUCCUCUGCUUGUUUUUUUUUUUGCCCUCGCCAUCCCUUUUCCCAUUCGCUUCGUUGAUGCCCCGUGACUGGCAGGGAGCUCUAAGCGCUUCCCUCCUGAGUCCAUCGGCAGGCUGUCAGCGCGUCUGUAUCUCAGUCCUCUUAAUUAGCCUUGGUGGGACCAAUUCUUUUGUCUUCAUUAGGACGACUAGAGCAGAUGCGGGGUGAGGCGUGGAGAAUGUAAUAGAGGGACGACUGUCUGAUGCACAUGAGGGAAGAAGAGUUGUUUAUUAAUGCGAGAGAUGAAUUGUAUUGUCCCUGGAGAAAGGUACUCAGAAGUGAUGAGGAAGUUAUUUUUUUCCUUGACCAAGGCACUUCUGUCAGGUUUAUUUGGUUCAAUCUCUCACGUAAUAGAAGGUAAAUCAACAUACUCCCCAUUUGAUUCAAUGCAUAGUUUGACAUUUGGGGAAAUGCGAUUUUUUUUUUGGCUGUCUUGCGAGGAGUUCCGUCUAUAUGCUAAUUUAAUCGUUUCGCAUUUCCCCUUACGCUAACCAUACAGGUAUUGUACCUCUCAGCUAAUAUUGGAGAGAAUGGUAUGUCAGCGUUUGUCAAAAUGAAAUGGCAUAACUAUAAUCUUUGAAACUGGAGCGGACUCCGACCAAAAGAAACAUCCCUGCUGGGGUCUGCCACAGUAUGUGUGUGCUCAUUUUACUUCAAGGUACCGGAACACCAAAUGUUAAUAUUAUCUAGAUGUGGAUUAUCCUCUCACUUCAUACAUUCCCUUCACCUGUUCGCCACUUGCACUGGUUUUGCCAUCCUGGGGGAGGAAAGGUGAGCAGGAGAGGUCGCGGCGAUGCGUCGAAGGAGACAAGCGCGAGCAGCGAGUGAUGAAUCUCCGCCGCCGUCUGCAACGCUCUCCGCUUCGUCGGCUCUCCCCCUCGUUUUCUGACCCAAAUCUAAUGCGACAAAACUUGUCUUCGCCACCCCCACACACCGAAACACACACACACCUUCUCCCACCAAGUUGUGCACGACCCCUUCUAUUUUUAGCUCUUUGUCCUUGAGUUAAACAUCCCUGAAAAUUGCCAUGAUCCAUAAAGGACUGGUUUGUCUGGCUUGAGGGGGAAAACACACACCCACUCGGGCCAACAUUAUCCUCCCUCCAGCCCCACCCCUCCCCUAUGCCACCUAAUGGUCUGUGUGUGUGUGUGUGUGUGUGUGUGUGAGAGAGAGCAACAAAUCGUUACCAAUUUCAAGUCUUUCGCCAUUACUGGAGCGAAUAUUUUACUCAUUAAAGAGGUGAAAUGGAGGGAGCGUUAAAUGAGUGUAACGCUGACAGAUCAGGCUGUUCUUUUUCUCUGAAAACCCCCCCCCCGCCGCCCCCCACCUCUCGCCCCCCCGCCCAUCACCAAACACACUCACCCUCGCCUCAGAAAGUUAUCCACUGUAGCCAAUUAGCAUGACUGCUCUCUCCAGCGUUAGCCCCCCUUUCUCUCUCUCUCUCUUCCUCGUCUAUCCCUUUACAGCCCCUCUUCCCAUUCUCUCUUUUUCUCAUUAGGGCCGCGUCGUAACACCGUGAAUCAUAAUAGGUGCUCCGCACUGUGAAAUGUCUUCAGCUUUGUCUCGUCUCGCCGAUUGCAGCUGGGAAAUGAGUAAACACACAGAAGCACAGAAACACACCCGCUGACGCUAUCGGGGCCGUCCAUUAAUCUGUCGUGAAGCAGUUUUCUUCUGGUCCGCCUAAAUAAAUUCCUGUUGUUCGGGGAUGAAGAGAGUCAGCGUGUGGGUGGGCGAUAAUCCGCGGUUGAUGGCGUGCAAGGCCGCGUACGACACACUGACGAUAAACCAAAUCCCCGCAAAGGAGUUUUGCAGCUGGGAUGUAAAAGAUGGAUGAGGGGAAGAGAUCGAGGGAGGUAAAGGGUGAAUGUGAUGGAAGGUGGACAGAUAGGAGGGAAAGAAGAUGGAUGGGUGGAGGCACGGAUGGUGGUGGUGCUGGUAACUGAGUGCGGCAGUGGAAGGAGACGGCGGCGGCGAGGCGUAUUCUAAGCCCUGAUUGUAAAUAUGGGUGAGGGGGAUUAUCAGAGAGUGCCAGGCGGCUCUUUUGGGGCUUUGUUUCUCUGUGACACGGUGACGUCGGCUUUGUUUCCCUGACAGCAGACGCGCGCGUGUGUGUGUGUGUGUGUGUGUGUGUGUGUGCGGUGUGUGCGUAAGGCAUCUGUUUCCUGCAGGAAAAGGUUAAUUACAUCUCUGCCGCCCGACCGGACGUGCCACGCAUAAUGGCAUGCGCCUAAUGAGACCUGCGUGUGUGUUUGUGGCUCGAUGGGCAAUCGUGAAAAGCCAGUUCCGUGGCAGCUGAAUAGAUCUGUUGGCCACUGUUUCAGGCUUUCAAAGGCUAUUGUUGCAGUCGAGGAGACAGACGAGCACGCGGAGUCGCGCACUGCCACGCGGCUGGCAGCUAGAAGCGCACGGCGGUGGCAUUUACGGAGCGACACUCCACUCCCACCGGGCGGGACAUUAAUGGAUGGGCCCGCGUCAUUGUGUGUGUGAGUGUAUUUUGUAAUUACUUGUCUCCCUAUUGAUGAGACUGAGAUGCUAUGGCAUCAGAGGAGGGAUGUCUCGUAAAGCCCUGUUGCUCAUCCUGACCCCUUGACUCCUAUCUUCACACUUCAGCUAAGCCGCUGAUUGGACAGCUGCUCUGCUUUCAAUCGGGCCCAGCUCAGGCGUGAAAGCCAAGAUGAGGCUCCCGGCCCUCCAGUGUGACUUUGGAAAAAAACUGUACACUUCUUCUUCUUGGCUGAAGUUACUGCAAAGUCUAACAAAAGCAACUAGGUGGGGAGAUGAUUUGGGGGGAGAAAGAGGGGGACCUGAUACAGUCCACUGGCGAGAAAUGGAUCAAACGGUCCGCUGCCAAGGGAAAAUUCGAGCGCAGGUAGCACGGUUAAGGGCACUGAGCUUGAGUUAAUAGGGGUUUGGUUUCUUGAAGAAUAUGGCUUGAGACAGCAUUGUUGAGUUUAUAAAGCUCAAAAAGUAGCAAAACAUGUCAAUCCUGAAACCUAUGUGACAAAAACCUUUCUCUGUUAUAAACGAUAAAAAGCUUGUACCCCGAUGAGGCGCCCUAACAAUCCCUGUUAAAGUAUCUUAAUGCAUACAACCCAGGGCUGUACAUUGCAGUCUGUUAAAGGAUAAUACCCUGAUGAAGGUGAGGACAGCAGCGCUGUCACACCUUUGUCUCCUGAUCCCUCCAUCGGUCACCCUCUUCCUCCUCCUUCUCCUCCUCCACUUUUUCCCUUUUCUUCUUUCCCAGUCCACGGUAAAAGCUGUUCAGGCCACAGAAGCAGGCGCAGGUGAAGGGCAUGGCCUAUCAGACGCCGCAGCGGAUCCACAAAGACCUGCAGAAGGAAGAGGGAUUGGGGGGAGAAGAGAGGAUUGUAGUUGUUAGGACGGUGCCGCCGUCAUCUGGAAAAUCUGCCAGGACAUCAUACACACGUCACGAGUCUUUUAAACACAAAAUGGAUAUCUGGUAUCAAAGGAAAAGGAAGGCAUUGAGGCGAAGUGAGUUCCUGAUUUCACAGAACUCUACGAUGAAAAGAUUCUGCCUCAUCCGGCUGUGUUUGAAUCACUUGCGGUUCGCCGAAAGGACUGUCCUAAAGUGAAAGGUCUGUUGAAGUGUGCAUGCAGUUUCCAUGUCAUGCUGUGCAGUGGCUGCUGCCUGCCUCCCAGCACAGUGGUGCUAUACAUUUUUAGCACUGAUGCCGUUAUUGUGCAGCACAAAUUAUUCCAGAAGUAUUGACACACGCAGGAACGGGUUGUUAAAUCUCUGCUCGGAGGAUGGCCUCGAGCUGAAAAAUGUUUGCAAUGAGAUUUUAAUAAAACAUGAAGCUGUGAAAACAUUAAAGAACCCAUCGUAUGCCCAUUUUACCACAGGUGGAUAUGGUUCCUUGGGUUCUUAUUGAAAUGUCUGUAACAUGCUUUGGUCAAAAUACUCCAAGGAUCAUUUAAAACAGCACUCUUUUUACCCUGUCUAAAACAGCCCUCCACAGAGUGACCUGUUUUGAGUGCCUGUUCCUUUAAAUGUUAAUGAACCAGCUACCCUUAGUCGAUCCUUCAUAGCUACUUUGUCGGGAACGUACCCUCAGUCGACCCCUCAUAGCUACUUGGUCGUGAACGUACCCUCAAUUGACCCCUUAUGGCUACGUAGUCAGGAAACUACCCUCAGUCGAUCCCUUAUGGCUACGUGGUCAGGAACGUACCCUCAAGUCAACCCCUCAUGGUUUCAUGUUCGGGAACGUACCCUCAGUCGACCCCUCAUGGCUUCAUGGUCGGGAACGUACCCUCAGUCGACCCCUCAUGGCUUCAUGUUCGGGAACGUACCCUCAGUCGACCCCUCAUAGCUACUUGGUCGUGAACGUACCCUCAAUUGACCCCUUAUGGCUACGUAGUCAGGAAACUACCCUCAGUCGAUCCCUUAUGGCUACGUGGUCAGGAACGUACCCUCAAUCGACCCCUAAUGGCUUCAUUGUUGGGAACGUACCCUCAGUCGACCCCUCAUGGCUUCAUGGUCGGGAACGUACCCUCAGUCGACCCCUCAUGGCUUCAUGGUCGGGAACGUACCCUCAGUUGAACCCUUAUGGCCACGUGGUCAGGAACGUACUCCCAAGCUACCACAUGGCUCCCACUCUCAAUUGCCUGUGAUGUAUCAUCAUCAUUUUGAUCAACUGCCGCUCUACAGUUGGAAAACCGAUUGAAUCUACUAAAUAUAUAGCGGACAGCUGUCAAAAAUCAUCAAGGCUCCGUGAGUGUUUAUGUGCAUCUGUGUCUUUGACGUUUUUUUGCAGCGCCAUCAGCAAAAAAAACCCCCACUCAAUGCAGAGAAAGUUACUGCAGUCAAGUGGAUCGGUCGGUCAACACACACCGCAGACUUGCACAUGCAAUGCGGUAAAGACUGGCCUGGUGGUCUAUUGAGCACUGUCACUCACAGGGAAGGGCUGAAACACUGCCAUUACUCUCCUUCUCACAUUUCUCUUCCCAUUGUGCUUGAACUACUCUCUCUACUCUCUUCCUCCUUCUCUUGCUCACACAGACUCUCAGCCCGAAGUAGUCUUGAGGCUGACCGAACCCCUAAUGUUAGCGCUUUUCUCCAGCGUGGCAAGCUGACUGCCAAUUUGCGAAGGAGCACAGAGAUUAGGACACGCAAGGUGAAACUGAGAGCUUCAUUAAAUACCAACCUGAGUCAGCAGCAUCAGCAGCUCUGGCUGGAGGGUGUAACGUGUGUGUGUGUGUGGGUGUGCGUAUGUAUGUGUUUUUGUUGCGUAAUGCAAGUGGGAGAGAAUGGGACAACAACAAGCACAGACCCAAAAAGUGUGUCCCUGUGUCUCUGUGUGUGGCUUUAGGGAUUGAUAUGAGCUUCAACCUGUCUCUUAUGGGAGCAAUUAGCUGAGCAAGACUCCGAGUUGCCUGCAAGCGGAGAGACAGGCCUCAGGCUAUGCCUGUGUGUGUGUGUGUGUGUGUGUGUGUGUGUCUGUGUGUGUGUAAAUACAUCUAUUAAACCUCGAUACGCUCUUCUCUAAUCCCUCUUCUGUCAUUCCGGAUAUCCAUCUUAUCCCCGUCUGCAGAUCUCCCACUCUGUACCCA
ensembl:lncRNA